UCUCUGAUGGCUCAGAGGUUAAAGCGUCUGCCUGCAAUGCAGGAGACAUAGGUUUGAUCCCUAGGUUGGGAA
rfam:Ovis aries breed Texel chromosome 12, whole genome shotgun sequence.